UUUAGGUUUCAGUUGCAAGUAGUCAUGCAGAGUAAAAUAAUCAUUAGUUUAACCUUUCUUGCUUUAGUUCGGUUUGUUUUUCCUAACAAACUUGAUCGAAUUAUCAAUGGGCACUACGCAUCUCCUAAGCAAUUUCCAUACCAAACAUUUAUGGACAAACUUGAUCUGUCUAACCUUCAUGGACCUAUUGGCUGGAGGCGUCAUUGCGGUGGAAUUCUGAUCUCCAGUAAUCUUGUCCUAACUGCAGCUCACUGCUUGGACAAACCUGAUAUAUAUGCUGUUAAAAUAUAUUUCGGUGCUCUAAAUCUCUGGAAUGUUACAGAAGAGGGCAAACAAAUAUUGGUAGUCAAAAGAGAUCAUUUUGUGAUACACAAUAAUUGGGAUAGAAAUUUAAUUGUUAACGAUAUCGCAAUGAUAAAGCUUCCAAUUUCACUAAUAUUAAAUGACUACAUAAAAGCUGUCCAACUGCCAAAUCCAGAAGUUCAAUACCAAUUCAGUGAAGCACUUUCCUCAGGCUGGGGAGACGUCGACGAGAAAGGAAACGUGGAUCCCAAAUUGAAAUACUACAGUUCCCAGAUUUUAUCUGAUCGUGAAUGCGAACAUUGGCACAAGUCUUCAAGUACUUCAGCAUUUCCGGCAUCGCUUAUUUGUAUAGCUCCAACUGAGAAUAGACUGUGCAAAGGAGAUUCUGGUGGCCCAUUAGUAAUUAGGCAAGAAUCAAACUUUGUGCUACUGGGAAUAACAUCCUUUACAUUUGAGAAAUGCUUGCCAAGUUACCCAACCUUCUUUACAAGAGUUUCUUCGUACCUUACCUGGAUUCGUGAAAACGCAGGAAGUGAAAAUCAAAUUUAAGACUUUCCUUGGACCUUUUACAAAUUUUUAACA
rnacentral:sRNA from 1 species